GAAAUUUGGCAGGACGACCGGGCCUGGUGAAAAAUUCGAUAUUCUGAAGUCGCCCAAACAAUAAAAUGCAAAAUGGCUCCAUAGCGCCCCCUAAGGCGAAAAUUCACACUAUUGACUGUCACGCCUGUACGCUUUGUCAUUUUGACACAAAAAUUGACACACACGUGUAUCUCAAUACGGUCUACGAAAAAGUCAGUGCGGGCGCAUCUGUGAAAUGUACGGUUAGAGGGUUAUUUCGCAUUUUUUCCCGAUCCGCACACAUUGGAAUUUCGCUAACUCCUCCGAAGGCUUAAGUUCCACCGCCACCAAAUUUGCUCAGGCCAAUCUACACCCCAUGGCCAUUAAAAGUUGUACAAAUCAUGACGCUGCACUCCACGGUUUACGUUCUAGGGGGCGCCAAAGAUAACCCAAAAAUCCACAUUCUUAAUAGUCUUAUAACUUUUUAUUUUUGUCCUCACUGGCCUCCAAGUUUUCUAGGAUGAUGCAAUGUCCAGCCAUCAACACAUUUGUAAAGGAAUUUUUACUCCCGAAAAGGGCGCCCCCCCAUGGCAGGAGAAAAAAGUACAUUUUUUCUUGUCCCCUAAGGUGAAAAAACACAUUGUUGACUGUCACGCCUAUACGCUUUGUCAAAAUGACACAAAAUUUGACACACACGUGUAUCUCAAUAAGAUCUACGAAAAAGUCAAUGGGCACGUAUCUGUAAAAUCUACGGUUAAAGGGCUAUUUCGCAUUUUUUGCCGAUUCGCACACAUUGGAAUGUGGCUAACUCCUCCUAAGGCUUUCUUCCCACCGACACCAAAUUUGCUCAAGCCGAUCUACAUCCCAUGGCCAUUCAAAGUUGUAAAAAUCAUGCCGCUGCACCCCAUGGUUUACGUUCUAGGGGGCGCCAAAGAUGACCCAAAUAUCCACAUUCUUAAAAGAAUCCACAUCCCCCCCCCCCCCAAGGCAGGAGAAAAAGUCCAGUUAACCCUGCCCAUCGCUCAAUGGCUCAAUCGCAUCGCUCUCCCGGCAACACCGUAAGGAGGAGCAACUUGCCAUUUGGAUAUAUCCUAGCUGUGUUUGUGCCCUCACUCAUGGUCCAGACUUUUUUCAAAUAGGACAUGUAGUUUGUCUGCAGCGGCCGUUUUGGUAGAAACUGCGCCUCCCAUUCAUUAUAAUGGGAAAUGACCACAGACAAGUGCGCACACCAUCUUUGGACCUUCAGUGUGAUGCAAUCGGGAGGGGGAGGCGGUCGCGCUGGGGGCGGCGCGACGCGGCUCGGGCCCGACAGUGCCCCACCGGGGCCCUAGUGUUGAGAUUCACGCCUGUACGCUUUGUCAUAUUGACACAAAAUUUGACAAUCACGUGUAUCUCAAUAAGAUCUACGAAAAAGUCAAUGCACAAAUAUCUGUAAAAUGUACGGUUAAAGGGCUAUUUCGAAUUUUUAGCCGAUUCACACACAUUGGAAUGUAGCUAACUCCUCCUAAGGCUUUCGUCCCAGUGACACCAAAUAUUUCAGGCCAAUCUACACCCCAUGGCCAUUCAAAGUUGUAAAAAUCAUGACGCUGCACCCCACGGUUUACGUUCUAGGGGGCGCCAAAAAUGACCCAAAUAUCCAUAUUCUUAAAAGUGUUAGAACAUUUCAUUUUUGUCCUCACUGGACUCCAUGUUUUCUAGGAUGAUGCAAUGUCCAGCCAUCAACACAUUUGUGAAGGAGUUUUUUCUCGUUAAAAGAGCGCCCCCCCAUGGCAGGAGAAUAAAGUCAAGUUUUUCCUGUUCAUAGUUCAAUGGCUCAAACGCACUGCUCUCUCGGCAAAAGCGAAAGGAGGAGCAACUUGCCGUUUGGAUAUUUCCUAGCUGUGUUUGUGCCCUCAUGGUCCAGACUUUUUUCAAAUAGGACAUGUAGUUUGUCUGCAGCCAGCGUUUCGGUAGAAACUGCGCCUCCCAUUCAUUAUAAUGGGAAAUGACCAAAGACAGGUGUGCACACUAUCUUUGGACCUCGACUGUGACGUCACAGUUUGACAUUUAAAUGUUAUUUGACCUCUGACCUUUGGUGGAGACGUGAACCUUUCAACCUGCAAAAACGGCGUUUCAAUAGCUCUUACGGCUUUUCUACAAAUACACUUUGUUCUGCUGCUCCUACUGUCUCUUCAGAGCUUAGGAUACACAAACACACACAUACACACACACACACACACACACACACAGAGUCUGUUUUUUAGCACCUGCAAAAACAUGCUAUUUACAUAUUUGACAAGAAUGCAGGGGCUUCCUUUUGCCCCUGAAAAAAAUCAAAUUUCAAACACAACUUGACUGCUCAUUUCUCCAAAAGACAACCAUGAAGCUCCAUCCAAACCUAAAGCAGGCAGUUGGUGCAUGUGUACAGUAACCUGAGGGGACUGAGGUGACUGCUUCUGAGGAGAACAUGAGCAGUGAAGAUUCACCUUGGAGAUAGAACAGGGACGUGCACAUGAUUAUACAGGGGCAGGGGCUCAAGUUUUUUCCAGUCGUUUAUACAAUAUGGAAAUUAAUGUGAAAUUAAAAAACAAAGUAUUAAUAGAAAGGUAAUGACUGUCCUGUGUAGGUGACAGUGAUAUCCAAUAGGCUAGGCACUCACGAGGCUGGCUGUGGCAAGUGUAAGUGAAAGCAACACGCACUGGCAGGAAGAACAGCAAACACCGAUGAAGGAAAAGGGUCUUUGCAGUGAUGGGCGCUACCAGAGAGGGCGAUGGCCAGAGGACGUGAAUGGGACGGGGAGGCAGCCCGUUGGGGGGGGGGGGGGGGGGGGGCGACACGGCUCGGGCCCGCCAGUGCCCCAACGGGGCCCUAGUUCGUUAUUAUUUUUCCUCCGCUUUAAACUGGAAAAUGGCCCACUUCCCACUAGCGACAACUCAGGAAAUUUGGCAGGACGACCGGGCCUGGUGAAAAAUUCGAUAUUCUGAAGUCGCCCAAACAAUAAAAUGCAAAAUGGCUCCAUAGCGCCCCCUAAGGUGAAAAUUCAUAUGACGGCUGUACGCUUUGUCAUAUUGAAACAAAAAUUGACACACACAUGUAUCUCAAUAAGAUCUACAAAAAAGUCAGUGCGGGCGUAUCUGUCAAAUGUACGGUUAAUGGGUUAUUUUGCAUUUUUUGCAGAUCUGCACACAUUGGAAUUUCGCUAACUCCUCCAAAGGCUUUCGUUCGACCGGCACCACAUUUGCGCAGGCCAAUCUACCCCCCAUGGCCAUUAAAAGUUGUACAAAUCAUGACGCUGCACCCCACGGUUUACGUUCUAGGGGGCGCCAAAGAUAACCCAAAAAUCCACAUUCUUAAAAGUCUUAUAACUUUUUACUUUUGUCCUCACUGGCCUUCAAGUUUUCUAGGAUGAUGCAAUGUCCAGCCAUCAACACAUUUGUGAAGGAAUUUUUACUCCCCAAAAGAGCUCCCCCCAAUGGCAGGAGAAAAAGGUCCAUUUUUUCUUGUCCGCUAACAUGAAAAUACACAUUGUAGAGUGUCACGCCUGAACGCUUUGUCAUAUUGACAAAAAAUUUGACACACACGUGUAUCUCAAUAAGAUCUACGAAAAAGUCAAAGGGCAUGUAUCUGUCAAAUGUACGGUUAAAGGGCUAUUUUGCAUUUUUUGCCGAUCCGCACACAUUGGAAUUUCGCUAACUCCUCCGAAGGCUAUCUUUCCACCGGCACCAAAUUUGCUCAGGCCAAUCUACACCCCAUGGCCAUUAAAAGUUGUACAAAUCAUCUUGCUGCACCCCACGGUUUGGGUUCUAGGGGGCACCAAAUAUAACCCAAAAAUCCACAUUCUUAAAAGUCUUAUAACUUUUUAUUUUUUUUCAUACUGGCCUCUAAGUUUUUUAGGAUGAUGCAAUGUCCAGCCAUCAACACAUUUGUGAAGAAAUUUUUACUCCCCAAAAGAGCGCCCCCCCAUGGCAGGAGAAAAAAGUCCAUUUUUUCUUAUCCCGAAAGGUGAAAAUUCACGUUGUUGAGUGUCACGCCUUUACGCUUUGUCAUAUUGACAAAAAAUUUGAAAAUCACGUGUAUCUCAAUAAGAUCUAUGAAAAAGUCAAUGGGCACGUAAGUGUAAAAUGUACAGUUAAAGGGCUAUUUUGCAUUUUUUGCCGAUUCGCACACAUUGGAAUUUCGCUAAGUCCUCCUAAGGCUUUCGUCCCACUGACACCAAAUUUGCUCAGGCCAAUCUACACUCCAUGGCCAUUCAAAGUUGUACAAAUCAUGACGCUGCACCCCACGGUUUAGGUUCUAGGGGGCGCCAAAGAUAACCCUAAAAUCCACAUAUUUAAAAGUCUUAUAACUUUUUAUUUUUGCCCUCACUGGCCUCCAAGUUUUCUAGGAUGAUGCAAUGUCCAGCCAUCAACACAUUUGUGAAGGAAUUUUUACUCCCCAAAAGAGCGCCCCCCCAUGGCAGGACAAAAAAGUCCAUUUUUUCUUGUCCACUAAGGUGAAAAUUCACACUAUUGACUGUCACGCCUGUACGCUUUGUCAUAUUGACACAAAAAUUGACACACACAUGUAUCUCAAUAAGAUCUACAAAAAAGUCAGUGCGGGCGUAUCUGUCAAAUGUACGGUUAAAGGGUUAUUUCGCAUUUUUUGCAGAUCCGCACACAUUGGAAUUUCGCUAACUCCUCCGAAGGCUUUCCUUCCACCGGCACCACAUUUGCUCAGGCCAAUCUACACCCCAUGGCCAUUAAAAGUUAUUCAAAUCAUGACGCUGCACCCCACGGUUUAGGUUCUAGGGGGUGCCAAAGAUAACCCUAAAAUCCACAUAUUUCAAAGUCUUAUAACUUUUUAUUUUUGUCCUCACUGGCCUCCAAGUUUUCUAGGAUGAUGCAAUGUCCAGCCAUCAACACAUUUGUGAAGGAAUUUUUACUCCCCAAAAGAGCGCCCCCCCAUGGCAGGAGAAAAAAGUCCAUUUUUUCUUGUCCCGUAAGGUGAAAAUUCACAUUGUUGAGUGUGACACCUGUACGCUUUGUCAUAUUGACACAAAAUUUGACAAUCACGUGUAUCUCAAUAAGAUCUACGAAAAAGUCAAUGGGUGCGUAUCUGUCAAAUGUACGGUUAGAGGGCUAUUUUGCAUUUUUGGCCAAUUCGCACACAUUGGAAUGUGGCUAACUCCUCCUAAGGCUUUCGUCCCACUGAAACCAAAUUUGCUCAGGCCAAUCUACACCCCAUGGCCAUUCAAAGUUGUAAAAAUCAUGACGCUGCACCCCACGGUUUACGUUCUAGGGGGCGCCAAAGAUGACCAAAAAAUCCACAUUCUUAAAAGAAUCCACAUUCUCCCCCCCGAUGGCACGAGAAAAAGUCAAGUUUUUCCUGCCCAUCGCUCAAUGGCUCAAUCGCAUCGCUCUCCAGGCAACACCGUAAGGAGGAGCAACCUGCCAUUUGGAUAUAUCCCAGCUGUGUUUGUGCCCUCACUCAUGGUCCAGACUUUUUUCAAACAGGACAUGAAGUUUGUCUGCAGCGAGUGUUUUGGUAGAAACUGCGCCUCCCAUUCAUUAUAGUGGGAAAUGACCACAGACAAGUGCGCACACCAUCUUUGGACCUUGAGUGUGACGCGAUCGGGAGGGGGAGGCGGUCACGCUGGGGGCGGCACGACGCGGCUCGGGCCCGACAGUGCCCCACCGGGGCCCUAGUUAUUAUUUUUCUGCCCCUUUGAACUGGAAAAUGGCCCACUUCCCACUGGUGAAAACUCAUGAAAUUUGGCAGGACGACCGGGGCUGGUGAAAAAUUCGAUAUUCUGAAGUCGGCCAAACAAUAAAAUGCAAAAUGGCUCCAUAGCGCCCCCUAAGGUGAAAAAUUCACAUGAUUGAGUGUCACACCUGUACGCUUUGUCAAAAUGACACAAAAUUUGACACACACGUGUAUCUCAAUAAGAUCUACAAAAAAGUCAGCGCGGGCGUAUCUGUCAAAUGUACGGUUAAAGGGCUAUUUUGCAUUUUUUGCCAAUCCGCACACAGUGGAAUUUCGCUAAACUCCUCCGAAGGCUUUCGUUCCACCGGCACCAAAUUUGCUCAGGCCAAUCUACACCCCAUGGCCAUUAAAAGUUGUACAAAUCAUGACGCUGCACCCCACGGUUUACGUUCUAGGGGGCACCAAAGAUAACCCAAAAAUCCACAGUCUUAAAAGUCUUAUUACUUUUUAUUUUUGUCCUCACUGGCCUCCAAGUUUUCUAGGAUGAUGCAAUGUCCAGCCAUCAACACAUUUGUGAAGGAAUUUUUACUCCCCAAAAGAGCGCCCCCCCAUGGCAGGAGAAAAAAGUCCAUUUUUUCUUGUCCCCUAAGGUGAAAAAACACAUUGUUGACUGUUACGCCUAUACGCUUUGUCAAAAUGACACAAAAUUUGACAAUCACGUGUAUCUCAAUAAGAUCUACGAAAAAGUCAAUGGGCACGUAUCUGUAAAAUGUACGGUUAAAGGGCUAUUUCGCAUUUUUUUGCCGAUUCGCACGCAUCGGAAUGUAGCUAACUCCUCCUAAGGCUUUCGUCCCACUGACACCAAAUUUUUGUCAGGCCAAUCUACACCCCAUGGCCAUUCAAAGUUGUAAAAAUCAUGACGCUGCACCCCACGGUUUACGUUUUAGGGGGCGCCAAAGAUUACCCAAAUAUCCAUAUUCUUUAAAGUGUUAAAACAUUUUAUUUUUGUCCUCACUAGCCUCCAUGUUUUCUAGGAUGAUGCAAUGUCCAGCCAUCAACACAUUUGUGAAGGACUUUUUUCUCGUUAAAAGAGCGCCCCCCCCCCCCAUGGCAGGAGAAUAAAGUCAAGUUUUUCCUGUUCAUCGUUCAAUGGCUCAAACACAUCGCUCUCUCGGCAAAAGCGAAAGGAGAAGCAAUUUGCCAUUUGGAUAUUUCCUAGCUGUGUUUGUGCCCUCACUCGUGGUCCAGACUUUUUUCAAAUAGGACAUGUAGUUUGUCUGCAGCCAGCGUUUCGGUAGAAACUGCGCCUCCCAUUCAUUAUAAUGGGAAAUGACCAAAGACAGGUGUGCACACUAUCUUUGGACCUUGACUGUGACGUCACAGUAUGACAUUCAAAUGUUAUUUGACCUCUGACCUUUGGUGGAGACGUGAACCUUUCAACCUGCAAAAACAGCGUUUCAAUAGCUCUUACGGCUUUUCUACAAAUACACUUUGUUCUGCUGCUCCUACUGUCUCUUCAGAGCUGCUUCACAGAUCAUCAAAGAGUGUGAAUGUGUGUAAUAAUAUAAUCAUUUUUAGUGACAAUGAUUUUUAGUGACAUCAUACAUUUGUUUUUUUCAGCAGAGGCAGCCACCUUAAAUGUUGACGUGUGUUUUCUGCAGUUGCAUCACAUGGCCACAGGGUGCCAGUGUUGGACUCAUUUUCCAGGGUCUAUUGUUGUUGCUAACAUGUAUUUGUAAAAUCAAACCCCUAUUUUUAUAAUAGAAAAUGUCCUGUGAAGAUUUGUCCACUGCAGUGACCGUUAUAUGUGAAAGGGUUAAUUGUGUAGUGGAAGUGUUUAGUGUUUAGGAUACACACACACAGACACACACACACACACAGACACACACACACACACACACACACACACACACACACACACACAGAGUCUGUUUUUUAGCACCUGCAAAAACAUGCUAUUUACAUAUUAGACAGGAAUGCAGAGGCUUGCCCCUGAAAAAAUCAAAUGUCAAACGCAAAUUGGCUGGUCAUUUCUCCAAAAGACAACCAUGAAGGGCUAUCUAAACCUGAAGCAUGCAGUUGCUGCAUGUGUACAGUAACCUGAGGGGAGUGAGGUGACUGCUUCUGAGGAGAACAUGAGCAGUGAAGAUUCACCUUAGAGCCAGAACAGGGAUGUGCACAUGAUUAUAGAGGGGCAGGGGCUCAAGUCUUUUCCAGUCCUUUAUACAAAAUGGAAAUUAAUGUGAAAUUAAAAAACAAAGUAUUAAUAGAAAGGUAAUGACUGUCCUGUGUAGAUGACAGUGAUAUCCAAUAGGCUAGGCACUCACGAGGCUGACUGUGGCAAGUGUAAGUGAAAGCAACACGCACUGGCAGGAAGAACAGCAAACGCCGAUGAAGGAAAAGGGUCCUUGCAGUGAUGGGCGUUACCAGAGAGGGCGAUGGCCAGAGGACGCGAAUGGGACGGGGAGGCAGCGCGUUGGGGGGGGGGGGGGGGGGGCGUGACACGGCUCGGGCCCGCCAGUGCCCCAACGGGGCCCUAGUUAUUAGGGCCCGAGCCAGCUGCAGAGCAGCCGGGCGUAGAGCCCUAUUAUUCCUGUAUAGGUUUUUCUUUCUUCUUUCUUUCUUUCUUUCUUCUUAUUUUUCCUCCCCUUUGAAGGGGAAAAUGGCCCACUUCCCACUGGCGAAAACUCAGGAAAUUUGGCAGGACGACCGGGCCUGGUGAAAAAUUCGAUAUUCUGAAGUCGCCCAAACAAUAAAAUGCAAAAUGGCUCCAUAGCGCCCCCUAAGGUGAAAAUUCACACUAUUGACUGUCACGCCUGUACGCUUUGUCAUAUUGACACAAAAAUUGACACACACAUGUAUCUCAAUAAGAUCUACGAAAAAGUCAAUGGGCACGUAUCUGUAAAAUGUACGGUUAAAGGGCUAUUUCGCAUUUUUUUGCCGAUUCGCACGCAUCGGAAUGUAGCUAACUCCUCCUAAGGCUUUCGUCCCACUGACACCAAAUUUUUGUCAGGCCAAUCUACACCCCAUGGCCAUUCAAAGUUGUAAAAAUCAUGACGCUGCACCCCACCGUUUACGUUUUAGGGGGCGCCAAAGAUUACCCAAAUAUCCAUAUUCUUUAAAGUGUUAAAACAUUUUAUUUUUGUCCUCACUAGCCUCCAUGUUUUCUAGGAUGAUGCAAUGUCCAGCCAUCAACACAUUUGUGAAGGACUUUUUUCUCGUUAAAAGAGCGCCCCCCCCCAUGGCAGGAGAAUAAAGUCAAGUUUUUCCUGUUCAUCGUUCAAUGGCUCAAACACAUCGCUCUCUCGGCAAAAGCGAAAGGAGAAGCAAUUUGCCAUUUGGAUAUUUCCUAGCUGUGUUUGUGCCCUCACUCGUGGUCCAGACUUUUUUCAAAUAGGACAUGUAGUUUGUCUGCAGCCAGCGUUUCGGUAGAAACUGCGCCUCCCAUUCAUUAUAAUGGGAAAUGACCAAAGACAGGUGUGCACACUAUCUUUGGACCUUGACUGUGACGUCACAGUAUGACAUUCAAAUGUUAUUUGACCUCUGACCUUUGGUGGAGACGUGAACCUUUCAACCUGCAAAAACAGCGUUUCAAUAGCUCUUACGGCUUUUCUACAAAUACACUUUGUUCUGCUGCUCCUACUGUCUCUUCAGAGCUGCUUCACAGAUCAUCAAAGAGUGUGAAUGUGUGUAAUAAUAUAAUCAUUUUUAGUGACAAUGAUUUUUAGUGACAUCAUACAUUUGUUUUUUUCAGCAGAGGCAGCCACCUUAAAUGUUGACGUGUGUUUUCUGCAGUUGCAUCACAUGGCCACAGGGUGCCAGUGUUGGACUCAUUUUCCAGGGUCUAUUGUUGUUGCUAACAUGUAUUUGUAAAAUCAAACCCCUAUUUUUAUAAUAGAAAAUGUCCUGUGAAGAUUUGUCCACUGCAGUGACCGUUAUAUGUGAAAGGGUUAAUUGUGUAGUGGAAGUGUUUAGUGUUUAGGAUACACACACACAGACACACACACACACACAGACACACACACACACACACACACACACACACACACAGAGUCUGUUUUUUAGCACCUGCAAAAACAUGCUAUUUACAUAUUAGACAGGAAUGCAGAGGCUUGCCCCUGAAAAAAUCAAAUGUCAAACGCAAAUUGGCUGGUCAUUUCUCCAAAAGACAACCAUGAAGCGCUAUCUAAACCUGAAGCAUGCAGUUGCUGCAUGUGUACAGUAACCUGAGGGGAGUGAGGUGACUGCUUCUGAGGAGAACAUGAGCAGUGAAGAUUCACCUUAGAGCCAGAACAGGGAUGUGCACAUGAUUAUAGAGGGGCAGGGGCUCAAGUCUUUUCCAGUCCUUUAUACAAAAUGGAAAUUAAUGUGAAAUUAAAAAACAAAGUAUUAAUAGAAAGGUAAUGACUGUCCUGUGUAGAUGACAGUGAUAUCCAAUAGGCUAGGCACUCACGAGGCUGACUGUGGCAAGUGUAAGUGAAAGCAACACGCACUGGCAGGAAGAACAGCAAACGCCGAUGAAGGAAAAGGGUCCUUGCAGUGAUGGGCGUUACCAGAGAGGGCGAUGGCCAGAGGACGCGAAUGGGACGGGGAGGCAGCGCGUUGGGGGGGGUGGGGGGGGGCGUGACACGGCUCGGGCCCGCCAGUGCCCCAACUGGGCCCUAGUUAUUAGGGCCCGAGCCAGCUGCAGAGCAGCCGGGCGUAGAGCCCUAUUAUUCCUGUAUAGGUUUUUCUUUCUUCUUUCUUUCUUUCUUUCUUUCUUCUUAUUUUUCCUCCCCUUUGAAGGGGAAAAUGGCCCACUUCCCACUGGCGAAAACUCAGGAAAUUUGGCAGGACGACCGGGCCUGGUGAAAAAUUCGAUAUUCUGAAGUCGCCCAAACAAUAAAAUGCAAAAUGGCUCCAUAGCGCCCCCUAAGGUGAAAAUUCACACUAUUGACUGUCACGCCUGUACGCUUUGUCAUAUUGACACAAAAAUUGACACACACAUGUAUCUCAAUAAGAUCUACAAAAAAGUCAGUGCGGGCAUAUCUGUCAAAUGUACGGUUAAAGGGUUAUUUCGCAUUUUUUGCAGAUCCGCACACAUUGGAAUUUCGCUAACUCCUCCGAAGGCUUUCGUUCCACCGGCACCACAUUUGCUCAGGCCAAUCUACACUCCAUGGCCAUUCAAAGUUGUACAAAUCAUGAUGCUGCACUCCAUGGUUUAGGUUCUAGGGGGCGCCAAAAAUAACCCAAAAAUCCACAUUCUUAAAAGUUUUAUAACUUUUUUUUUUUGUCCUCACUGGCCUCCAAGUUUUCUAGGAUGAUGCAAUGUCCAGCCAUCAACACAUUUGUAAAGGAAUUUUUACUCCCCAAAAGAGCGGCCCCCCAUGGCAGGACAAAAAAUCAAUUUUUUCUUGUCCCCUAAGGUGAAAAUACACAUUGUUGAGAUUCACGCCUGUAUGCUUUGUCAAAAUGACACAAAAUUUGACACACACGUGUAUCUCAAUAAGAUCUACGAAAAAGUCAAUGCGCGCGUAUCUGUAAAAUGUACGGCUAAACGGCUAUUUUGCAUUUUUUGCCGAUUCGCACACAUUGGAAUGUGGCUAACUCCUCCUAAGGCUUCCGGCCCACUGACACCAAAUUUGCUCAGGCCAAUCUACACCCCAUGGCCAGUCAAAGUUGUAAAAAUCAUGCCGCUGCACCCCAUGGUUUACGUUCUAGGGGGCGCCAAAGAUGACCCAAAUAUCCACAUUCUUAAAAGUCGUUUUGGCCACUGCAGGAGUACAGAGUACUGCAGGAUACACACACACAGACACACACACACACACACACACACACACACACACACUCACACACACACACACACACACACACACACACACACACACACACACACACACACACAUACACACUCAGAGUCUGUUUUUCAGCACCUGCAAAAACAUGCUAUUUACAUAUUUGACAACAAUGCAGAGACUUCCUUUUGCCCCUGAAAAAAAUGAAAUUUCAAACACAACUUGACUGCUCAUUUCUCCAAAAGACAACCAUGAAGCUCCAUCCAAACCUGAAGCAGGCAGUUGGUGCAUGUGUACAGUAACCUGAGGGGAGUGAGGUGACUGCUUCUGAGGAGAACAUGAGCAGUGAAGAUUCACCUUGGAGCUAGAACAGGGACGUGCACAUGAUUAUACAGGGGCAGGGGCUCAAGUUUUUUCCAGUCGUUUAGACAAUAUGGAAAUUAAUGUGAAAUUAAAAAACAAAGUAUUAAUAGAAAGGUAAUGACUGUCCUGUGUAGGUGACAGUGAUAUCCAAUAGGCUAGGCACUCACGAGGCUGGCUGUGGCAAGUGCAAGUGAAAGCCACACGCACUGGCAGGAAGAACGCCGAUGAAGGAAAAGGGUCUUCGCAGUGAUGGGCGUUACCAGAGAGGGCGAUGGCCAGAGGACGCGAAUGGGACGGGGAGGCAGCGCGUUGGGGGGGGGGGUGGCGGGGGGGGGGGGGGGCGACACAGCUCGGGCCCGCCAGUGCCCCAACGGGGCCCUAGUUUGUUAUUAGGGCCCGAGCGUAGCUGCUAAGCAGCUGCGAGAGCCCUAUUAUUCCCCAAGUGGUUUUUCUUUGUUUCUUUCUUUCUUUCUUUCUUUCUUUCUUCUUUUUCCUCCCCUUUGAACUGGAAAAUGGCCCACUUCCCACUGGCGAAAACUCAUGAAAUUUGGCAGGACGACCGGGCCUGGUGAAAAAUUCGAUAUUCUGAAGUCGCCCAAACAAUAAAAUGCAAAAUGGCUCCAUAGCGCCCCCUAAGGUGGAAAUUCACACUAUUGACUGUCACGCCUGUACGCUUUGUCAUAUUGACACAAAAAUUGACACACAUAUGUAUCUCAAUAAGAUCUACAAAAAAGUCAGUGCGGCCGUAUCUGUCAAAAUUACGGUUAAAGGGUUAUUUCGCAUUUUUUGCCGAUCCGCACACAUUGGAAUUUCGCUAACUCCUCCGAAGGCUUUCGUUCCACCGGCACCACAUUUGCUCAGGCCAAUCUACACCCUGUGGCCAUUAAAAGUUAUCAAAAUCAUGACGCUGCACCCCAAGGUUUAGGUUCUAGGGGGCGCCAAAGAUAACACUAAAAUCCACAUAUUUAAAAGUCUUAUAACUUUUUAUUUUUGUCCUCACUGGCCUCCAAGUUUUCUAGGAUGAUGCAAUGUCCAGCCAUCAACACAUUUGUGAAGGAAUUUUUACUCCCCAAAAGAGCGCCCCCCCAUGGCAGGAGAAAAAAGUCCAUUUUUUCUUGUCCCAUAAGGUGAAAAUACACAUUGUUGACUGUCAUACCUGUACGCUUUGUCAUAUUGACACAAAAUUUGACACACACAUGUAUCUCAAUAAGAUCUACGAAAAAGUCAAUGCGCGCGUAUCUGUCAAAUGUACGGUUAAAGGGCUAUUUCGCAUUUUUUGCCGAUUAGCACACAUUGGAAUGUGGCUAACUCCUCCUAAGGCUUUCGUCCCACUGACACCAAAUUUGCUCAGGCCAAUCUACACCCCAUGGCCAUUCAAAGUUGUAAAAAUCAUGACGCUGCACCCCACGGUUUACGUUCUAGGGGGCGCCAAAGAUGACCCAAAUAUCCACAUUCUUAAAAGAAUCCACACCCCCCCCCCCCCCCAUCCCCCAUCCCCCAUCCCCCAUGGCAGGAGAAACAGUCAAGUUUUUCCUGCCCAUCACUCAAUGGCUCAAUCGCAUCGCUCUCCCGGCAACACCGUAACGAGGAGCAACUUGCCGUUUGGAUAUAUCCUAGCUGUGUUUGUGCCCUCACUCAUGGUCCAGACUUUUUUCAAAUAGGACAUGAAGUUUGUCUGCAGCGAGUGUUUUGGUAGAAACUGCGCCUCCCAUUCAUUAUAAUGGGAAAUGACCACAGACAAGUGCGCACACCAUCUUUGGACCUUGAGUGUGACGCGAUCGGGAGGGGGAGGCGGUCGCACUGGGGGCGGCGCAACGCGGCUCGGGCCCGCCAGUGCCCCAACGGGGCCCUAGUUAUUAUUAGGGCCCGAGCGUAGCUGCUAAGCAGCUGCGAGAGCCCUAUUAUUCCCCAAGUGGUUUUUCUUUGUUUCUUUUUAGGGCCCGAGCCAGCUGCAGAGCAGCCGGGCGUAGAGCCCUAUUAUUCCUGUAGUGGUUUUUCUUUGUUUCUUUCUUUCUUUUUUCUUUUUCCUCCCCUUUGAACUGGAAAAUGGCCCACUUCCCACUGGCCAAAACUCAUGAAAUUUGGCCAGACGACCGGGCCUGGUGAAAAAUUCGAUAUUCUGAAGUCGCUUAAACAAUAAAAUGCAAAAUGGCUCCAUAGCGCCUCCUAAGGUGAAAAUUCACACUAUUGACUGUCACGCCUGUACGCUUUGUCAAAAUGACACAAAAAUUGACACACACAUGUAUCUCAAUAAGAUCUACAAAAAAGUCAGUGCGGGCGUAUCUGUCAAAUGUACGGUUAAAGGGUUAUUGCGCAUUUUUUGCCAAUCCGCACACAUUGGAAUUUCGCUAACUCCUCCGAAGGCUUUCGUUCCACCGGCACCAUAUUUGCUCAGGCCAAUCUACACCCCAUGGCCAUUAAAAGUUAUUCAAAUCAUGACGCUGCACCCCACGGUUUAGGUUCUAGGGGGCGCCAAAGAUAACCCUAAAAUCCACAUAUUUAAAAGUCUUAUAACUUUUUAUUGUUGUCCCCACUGGCCUCCAAGUUUUCUAGGAUGAUGCAAUGUCCAGCCAUCAACACAUUUGUGAAGGAAUUUUUACUCGCCAAAAGAGCGCCCCCCCAUGGCAGGAGAAAAAAGUCAAUUUUUUCUUGUCCCCUAAGGUGAAAAUACACAUUGUUGAGUGCUACGCCUGUAUGUUUUGUCGUAUUGACACAAAAUUUUACAUACACGUGUAUUUCAAUAAGAUCUUCGAAAAAGUCAAUGGCCACGUAUCUGUAAAAUGUACGGUUAAAGGGUUAUUCCGCAUUUUUUGCCGAUCCGCACACAUUGGAAUGUGGCUAACUCCUCCUAAGGCUUUCGUUCCACCGGCACCACAUUUGCUCAGGCCAAUCUACACCCCAUGGCCAUUAAAAGUUAUUCAAAUCAUGACGCUGCACCCCACGGUUUAGGUUCUAGGGGGCGCCAAAGAUAACCCUAAAAUCCACAUAUUUAAAAGUCUUAUAACUUUUUAUUGUUGUCCCCACUGGCCUCCAAGUUUUCUAGGAUGAUGCAAUGUCCAGCCAUCAACACAUUUGUGAAGGAAUUUUUACUCGCCAAAAGAGCCCCCCCCCCCCCCCCCAUGGCAGGAGAAAAAAGUCCAUUUUUUCUUGUCCCCUAAGGUGAAAAUACACAUUGUUGAGUGUCACGCCUGAACGCUUUGUCAUAUUGACAAAAAAAUUGACAAUCAUAUGUAUCUCAAUUAGAUCUACGAAAAAGUCAAAGAGCGCGUAUCUGUAUAAUGUACGGUUAAAGGGCUAUUUCGCAUUUUUUGCCGAUUCGCACACAUUGGAAUGUGGCUAUCUCCUCCUAAGGCUUUCGUCCCACCGAUACCAAAUUUGCUCAGGGCAAUCUACACCCCAUGCCCAUUCAAAGUUGUAAAAAUCAUGACGCUGCACCCCACGGUUUACGUUCUAGGGGGCGCCAAAGAUGACCCAAAAAUCUACAUUCUUAAAAGUCAUUUUGGCCACUGCAGGAGUACAGAGUACAGCAGUUCUAGGGGGCGCCAAAGAUGACCCAAAAAUCCACAUUCUUAAAAGUCUUUUUGGCCACUGUAGGAGUACAGAGUACUGCAGGAUACACACACAUAUACACACACGCCAACACACACAUACACACACACACACACACACACACACACACACACACACUCAGAGUCUGUUUUUUAGCACCUGCAAAAACAUGCUGUUUACAUAUUUGACAAGAAUGCAGAGGCUUCCUUUUGCCCCUGAAAAAAAUCAAAUUUCAAACACAACUUGACUGUUCAUUUCUCCAAAAGACAACCAUGAAGCUCCAUCCAAACCUGAAGCAGAUAGUUGGUGCAUGUGUACAGUAACCUGAGGGGAGUGAGGUGACUAUUUCUGAGGAGAACAUGAGCAGUGAAGAUUCACCUUGGAGCUAGAACAGGGACGUGCACAUGAUUAUACAGGGGCAGGGGCUCAAGUUUUUUCCAGUCAUUUAUACAAUAUGGAAAUUAAUGUGAAAUUAAACCACAAAUAUGUGUGAUGAACUGUUUUUAAAACUUAAACUUCAAAUAAAAAUUGUAAACUUCAAAACAUAUGCAAAUUUUUAACAAAGAACAUAGUAAUUUACCUCUAUUUACAUCAAAAUGCAGGCAAUGGCCCAGGCAUUCUUUGUAAAAUUAUUUACAAAACACUGUAUAGUCUCACAAAUGUCACUUUUUAUUUAUGCCACUACAAAAAAACAUGAUGUAAAUGAUGCAUGAUGUAAAACAUGAUGUAAAAAACUUGUGUAGAUCCUCCUCUAUGUCAGUCCAUGUGUAAUUUUUCCAUAAUUCUUUGUUUUUUGCAGCAUUUUUGUUAGUGUAACUGCAGAUUGUGCUGACAGUGUCUAUGGCAAAAAAAAAAAAAAAAAAACUGAAAAUGCCUCAACAUGAACCCCUGGUGGUCUCUGAGGGUGAAACCUGCUAACUGCUGCAGCUCUGUCAGCUUUAGUCUCCCAUGCAGAGCUCGGAGCGCAUGUGUGGCUCUGCACCCUUAGCAGCGUUGCUAACUCCUCAGUAAGGAAAGCCUGCUUCAUGUCAGAGUCUCUAAACUCCAGAAGAAGUCGAUAAAAGUCCCUUUCUUUCUUAAAAAAAAGUCGUUAGGGGGUCUGAAAAGUCAUUGAAUCUAACAACAAAGUCGCUAGGUUUGCAACUACGUGUCCCAGACUGCAUCCCUGCUGAGAGUUCCUCCCUCCCUUCUCAUGUUGCAGGAAGAACGUAAGCGCCCGCCCCUUGUCAAUCAGUCACCAUAUAAUUUUGGAUUGGUUGUUGUGGUGAAGUUUUCCACCAAUAGGAGAGAUGUUGUGGUGUGUUGUUUUUUUUCUUUGGCAAGCCUUUUCCGCCUGUAAGACCUGUCGCUAAUGUCUGCAUGCUAUGUUAUCCUGUCUCAUACAGCGCGAUCGAGCGCCGAACGUGAUCAAAAUAAGCAGAAAAAAAGUAUCGCGGACAUAAUUUAUCAUAACUCUGGUUUUAUUUGGCCUAUCAACACAAUUUGAAAACUGGUGUAUAGUUUGAGGUCCUCACUUUUGAGAUAAGUUGAAACGGAGAGUCAACGAGGCUCCGUCUUGCUGCUACAUCCGGUUAAAUAUGUAAUGUGACUUGAACGCUGGGGAGCGUCAAUCGACUGCAGAGCCAGCAGACAAAGUAGUUGUGGCCACUGAAAGGCACAUAUUUGUCAUAUGCUAUAAUCCUAACAUAUUUUAAUGCUUUUUCUAUUUAAACCUAAUGGAUCUAAGGUUUGACCUUCAAAAUUUAGGAAGGAUAUGUUUUUGCAGUAAUGACCCCCUUAAACAACCAGAGGUCCUUUCCUAAAGUUUAUGGAAAUUUUAGUGAAGGCCUUGGUUUCUUUCCUUGCAAAAUGUAUAGAAAUAAUAAAGCUAAAUACCAUAAAAUGGUCUUGGCGUAUUAGCAGUGAUAUAAAAUAGUGGUUUGAAUAUGAAUGAACAACAACAAAAAAAACCAUCAACAGAGCCUUUUUGAGUUGGGAUUCUUUCAUUAUCACACAAAAACAGACAUAGACAGACAUCUAAAGGGUAAGGGAAUAAUCAGCCCUCCUAACUCUCAGAUGAAUCUUCAAAAUUCACCUCAGAAAUAUGCUUAUUAUUCUUCUCAGAGUACUGCAGGAUAUACACACACACACACUCAGAGUCUUUUUUUUAGCACCUGCAAAAACAUGCUAUUUACAUAUUUGACUAGAAUGCAGAGGCCCCUUUUUGCCCCUGAAAAAAAUCAAAUUUCAAACACAACCUGACUGCUCAUUUCUCCAAAAGACAACCAUGAAGCUCCAUCCAAACCUGAAGCAGGCAGUUGGUGCAUGUGUACAGUAACCUGAGGGGAGUGAGGUGACUGCUUCUGAGGAGAACAUGAGCAGUGAAGAUUCACCUUGGAGCUAGAACAGAGACAUGCACAUGAUUAUACAGGGGCAGGGGCUCAAGUUUUUUCCAGUCGUUUAUACAAUAUGGAAAUUAAUGUGAAAUUAAAACACAAAGUAUUAAUAGAAAGGUAAUGACUGUCCUGUGUAGGUGACAGUGAUAUCCAAUAGGCUAGGCACUCACGAGGCUGGCUGUGGCAAGUGUAAGUGAAAGCAACAUGCACUGGCAGGAAGAACAGCAAACGCCGAUGAAGGAAAAGGGUCUUUGCAGUGAUGGGCGUUACCAGAGAGGGCGAUGGCCAGAGGACACAAAUGGGACGGGGAGGCAGCACGUUGGGGGGGGGGGGGCGACACGGCUCGGGCCCGCCAGUGCCCCAACGGGGUCCUAGUUAGGGCCCGAGCGUAGCUGCUAAGCAGCUGCGAGAGCCCUCUUGUUCCUGUAGUUUCCUUCUUUUGUUAUUAGGGCCCGAGCGUAGCUGCUAAGCAGCUGCGAGAGCCCUCUUGUUCCUGCAUGUUUCCUUCUUUUGUUAUUAUUAGGGCCCGAGCGUAGCUGCUAAGCAGCUGCGAGAGCCCUAUUAUUCCCCAAGUGGUUUUUCUUUGUUUCUUUCUUUCUUUCUUUAGGGCCCGAGCGUAGCUGCUAAGCAGCUGCGAGAGCCCUCUUGUUCCUGAUGGAUUCUUCUUUCGUUAUUUUUCCUCCGCUUUAAACUGGAAAAUGGCCCACUUCCCACUGGCGAAAACUCAUGAAAUUUGGCAGGACGACCGGGCCUGGUGAAAAAUUCGAUAUUCUGAAGUCGCCCAAACAAAAAAAUGAAAAAUGGCUCCAUAGCGCCCCCUAUGGUGAAAACUCACCUGACGCCUGUACGCUUUGUCAAAAUGACACAAAAUUUGACACACAUGUGUAUCUCAAUAAGAUCUACAAAAAAGUCAGUGCGGGCGUAUCUGUCAAAUGUACGGUUAAAGGGCUAUUUCGCAUUUUUUGCCGAUCCGCACACAUUGGAAUUUCGCUAACUCCUCCGAAGGCUUUCGUUCCACCGGCAACAAAUUUGCUCAGGACAAUCUACACCCCAUGGCCAUUAAAAGUUGUACAAAUCAUGACGCUGCACCCCACGGUUUACAUUUUAGGGGGCGCCAAAGAUAACCCAAAAAUCCACAGUCUUAAAAGUCUUAUAACUUUUUAUUUUUGUCCUCACUGGCCUCCAAGUUCUCUAGGAUGAUGCAAUAUCCAGCCAUCAACACAUUUGUGAAGAAAUUUUUACUCCCCAAAAGAGCGCCCCCCCAUGGCAGGAGAAAAAAGUCCAUUUUUUCUUGUCCCCUAAGGUGAAAAUACACAUUGUUGAGUGUCAUGCCUGAACGCUUUGUCAUAUUGACACAAAAUUUGACACACACGUGUAUCUCAAUAAGAUCUACGAAAAAGUCAAAGAGCGCGUAUCUGUAUAAUGUACGGUUAAAGGGCUAUUUCGCAUUUUUUGCCGAUCCGCACACAUUGGAAUUUUGCUAACUCCUCCGAAGGCUUUCGUUCCACCGGCACCAAAUUUGCUCAAGCAAAUCUACACCCCAUGGCCAUUAAAAGUUGUACAAAUCAUGACGCUGCACCCCACGGUUUAGGUUCUAGGGGGCGCCAAAUAUAACCCAAAAAUCCACAUUCUUAAAAGUCUUAUAACUUUUUAUUUUUGUCCUCACUGGCCUCCAAGUUUUCUAGGAUGAUGCAAUGUCCAGCCAUCAACACAUUUGUGAAGGAAUUUUUACUCCCCAAAAGAGCGCCCCCCCAUGGCAGGAGAAAAAAGUCCAUUUUUUCUUGUCCCAUAAGGUGAAAAUACACAUUGUUGAGUGUCACGCCUGUACGCUUUGUCAAAAUGACACAAAAUUUGACAAUCACGUGUAUCUCAAUAAGAUCUAUGAAAAAGUCAUGCGCAAAUAUCUGUAAAAUGUACGGUUAAAGGGCUAUUUUGCAUUUUUUGCCGAUUCGCACACAUUGGAAUGUCGCUAACUCCUCCUAAGGCUUUCGUCCCACUGACACCAAAUUUGCUCAGGCCAAUCUACACCCCAUGGCCAUUCAAAGUUGUAAAAAUCAUGACGCUGCACCCCACGGUUUACAUUCUAGGGGGUGCCAAAGAUGACCCAAAUAUCCACAUUCUUAAAAGAAUCCACAUCCCCCCCCCUCCCCCCAUGGCAGGAGAAAAAGUCAAGUUUUUCCUGCCCAUCGCUCAAUGGCUCAAUCGCAUCGCUCUCUCGGCAAAAGCGAAAGGAGGAGCAACUUGCCAUUUGGAUAUAUCCUAGCUGUGUUUGUGCCCUCACUCAUGGUCCAGACUUUUUUCAAAUAGGACAUGUAGUUUGUCUGCAGCGAGUGUUUUGGUAGAAACUGCGCCUCCCAUUCAUUAUAAUGGGAAAUGACCACAGACAAGUGCGCACUCCAUCUUUGGACCUAGAGUGUGACGCGAUCGGGAGGUGGAGGCGGUCGCGCUGGGGGCGGCGCGACGCGGCUCGGGCCCGACAGUGCCCCACCGGGGCCCUAGUUCUUUCUUUCUUUCUUCUUUUUCCUCCCCUUUGAACUGGAAAAUGGCCCACUUCCCACUGGCGAAAACUCAUGAAAUUUGGCAGGACGACCGGGCCUGGUGAAAAAUUCGAUAUUCUGAAGUCGCCCAAACAAUAAAAUGCAAAAUGGCUCCAUAGCGCCCCCUAAGGUGAAAAUACACAUUGUUGAGUGUCAAGCCUAUACGCUUUGUCAAAAUGACACAAAAAUUGACACACACAUGUAACUCAAUAAGAUCUACGAAAAAGUCAAUGCGCGCGUAUCUGUCAAAUGUACGGUUAAAGGGUUAUUCCGCAUUUUUUGCCGAUCCGCACACAUUGGAAUGUGGCUAACUCCUCCUAAGGCUUUCGUUCCACCGGCACCACAUUUGCUCAGGCCAAUUUACACCCCAUGGCCAUUAAAAGUUAUUCAAAUCAUGACGCUGCACCCCACGGUUUAGGUUCUAGGGGGCGCCAAAGAUAACCCUAAAAUCCACAUAUUUAAAAGUCUUAUAACUUUUUAUUUUUGUCCUCACUGGCCUCCAAGUUUUCUAGGAUGAUGCAAUGUCCAGCCAUCAACACAUUUGUGAAGGAAUUUUUACUCCCCAAAAGAGCGCCCCCCCAUGGCAGGAGAAAAAAGUCCAUUUUUUCUUGUCCCCUAAGGUGAAAAUACAUAUUGUUGAGAUUCACGCCUAUACGCUUUGUCAUAUUGACACAAAAUUUUACAUACACGUGCCUUGCCUGGUAUCAUUUUUUUCAGCACAACCUCACCUGUGCGAAUUUACAGUUAUUUUAUCAUGUUGACAUACUGAAUUUACACAAUGGACCCAAAUUCACACACAAAACAUAAAAUCCGAGUGGAAAAAAGUAACAUUUUUACUGUGAAAACCACAAAUAUGUGUGAUGAACUGUUUUUAAAACUUAAACUUCAAAUAAAAAUUGUAAACUUCAAAACAUAUGCAAAUUUUUAACAAAGAACAUAGUGAUUUACCUCUAUUUACAUCAAAAUGCAGGCAAUGGCCCAGGCGUUCUUUGUAAAAUUAUUUACAAAACACUGUAUAGUCUCACAAAUGUCACUUUUUAUUUAUGCCACUACAAAAAAACAUGAUGUAAAUGAUGCAUGAUGUAAAACAUGAUGUAAAAAACUUGUGUAGAUCCUCCUCUAUGUCAGUCCAUGUGUAAUUUUUCCAUAAUUCUUUGUUUUUUGCAGCAUUUUUGUUAGUGUAACUGCAGAUUGUGCUGACAGUGUCUAUGGCACAAAAAAAAAAAAAAUUAAAAUGCCUCAACAUGAACCCCUGGUGGUCUCUGAGGGUGAAACCUGCUAACUGCUGCAGCUCUGUCAGCUUCAGUCUCCCAUGCAGAGCUCGGAGCGCAUGUGUGGCUCUGCACCCUUAGCAGCGUUGCUAACUCCUCAGUAAGGAAAGCCUGCUUCAUAUCAGAGUCUCUAAACUCCAGAAGAAGUCGAUAAAAGUCCCUUUCUUUCUAAAAAAAAGUCGUUAGGGGGUCUGAAAAGUCAUUGAAUCUAACAACAAAGUCGCUAGGUUUGCAACUACGUGUCCCAGACUGCAUCCCUGCUGAGAGUCCCUCCCUCGCUUCUCAUGUUGCAGGAAGAACGUAAGCGCCCGCCCCUUGUCAAUCAGUCACCAUAUAAUUUUGGAUUGGUUGUUGUGGUGAAGUUUUCCACCAAUAGGAGAGAUGUCGUGGUGUGUUUUUUUUUUCUUUUGGCAAGCCUUUUCCGCCUGUAAGACCUGUCGCUAAUGUCUGCAUGCUAUGUUUUCCUGUCUCAUACAGCACGAUCGAGCGCCGAACGUGAUCAAAAUAAGCAGAAAAAAAGUAUCGCGGACAUAAUUUAUCAUAACUCUGGUUUUAUUUGGCCUAUCAACACAAUUUAAAAACUGGUAUAUAGGUUGAGGUCCUCACUUUUGAGAUAAGUUGAAACGGAGAGUCAACGAGGCUCCGUCUUGCAGCUACAUCUGGUUAAAUAUGUCAUGUGACUUGAACGCACACACACACACACACACACUCACUCAGAGUCUGGUUUUUAGCACCUGCAAAAACAUGCUAUUUACAUAUUUGACAAGAAUGCAGAGGCUCCUUUUGCCCCUGAAAAAAAUCAAAUUUCAAACACAACUUGACUGCUCAUUUCUCCAAAAGACAACCAUGAAGCUCCAUCCAAACCUGAAGCAGGCAGUUGGUGCAUGUGUACAGUAACCUGAGGGGAGUGAGGUGAGUGCUUCUGAGGAGAACAUGAGCAGUGAAGAUUCACCUUGGAGCUAGAACAGAGACAUGCACAUGAUUAUACAGGGGCAGGGGCUCAAGUUUUUUCCAGUCGUUUAUACAAUAUGGAAAUUAAUGUGAAAUUAAAACACAAAGUAUUAAUAGAAAGGUAAUGACUGUCCUGUGUAGGUGACAGUGAUAUCCAAUAGGCUAGGCGCUCACGAGGCUGGCUGUGGCAAGUGUAAGUGAAAGCAACACGCACUGGCAGGAAGAACAGCAAACGCCGAUGAAGGAAAAGGGUCUUUGCAGUGAUGGGCGUUACCAGAGAGGGCGAUGGCCAGAGGACACAAAUGGGACGGGGAGGCAGCACGUUGGGGGGGGGGACGCGACACGGCUCGGGCCCGCCAGUGCCCCAACGGGGUCCUAGUUAUUUUUCCUCCCCUUUGAACUGGAAAAUGGCCCACUUCCCACCCGCGAAAACUCAUGAAAUUUGGCAGGACGACCGGGCCUGGUGAAAAAUUUGAUAUUCCGAAGUCGCCCAAACAAUAAAAUGCAAAAUGGCUCCAUAGCGCCCCCUAAGGUGAAAAUUCACACUAUUGACUGUCACGCCUGUACGCUUUGUCAAAAUGACACAAAAAUUGACACACACAUGUAUCUCAGUAAGAUCUACAAAAAAGUCAGUGCGGGCGUAUCUGUCAAAUGUACGGUUAAAGGGUUAUUUCGCAUUUUUUGCCGAUCCGCACACAUUGGAAUUUCGCUAACUCCUCCGAAGGCUUUCGUUCCACCGGCACCACAUUUGCUCAGGCCAAUCUACACCCCAUGGCCAUUAAAAGUUAUUCAAAUCAUGACGCUGCACCCCACGGUUUAGGUUCUAGGGGGCGCCAAAGAUAACACUAAAAUCCACAUAUUUCAAAGUCUUAUAACUUUUUAUUUUUGUCCUCACUGGCCUCCAAGUUUUCUAGGAUGAUGCAAUGUCCAGCCAUCAACACAUUUGUGAAGGAAUUUUUACUCCCCAAAAGAGCGCCCCCCCAUGGCAGGAGAAAAAAGUCCAUUUUUUCUUGUCCCCUAAGGUGAAAAUACACAUUGUUGAGUGUCACGCCUGUACGCUUUGUCAAAAUGACACAAAAAUUGACACACACAUGUAUCUCAAUAAGAUCUACAAAAAAGUCAAAGCGCGCGUAUCUGUCAAAUGUACGGUUAAAGGGUUAUUCCGCAUUUUUUGCCGAUUCGCACACAUUGGAAUUUCGCUAACUCCUCCGAAGGCUUUCGUUCCACCGGCACCACAUUUGCUCAGGCCAAAUUACACCCCAUGGCCAUUAAAAGUUAUUCAAAUCAUGACGCUGCACCCCACGGUUUACGUUCUAGGGGGCGCCAAAGAUAACCCAAAAAUCCAAAUUUUUAAAAGUCUUAUAACUUUUUAUUUUUGUCCUCACUGGCCUCCAAGUUUUCUAGGAUGAUGCAAUGUCCAGCCAUCAACACAUUUGUGAAGGAAUUUUUACUCCCUAAAAGAGCGCCCCCCCAUGGCAGGAGAAAAAAGUCCAUUUUUUCUUGUCCCCUAAGGUGAAAAUACACAUUGUUGACUGUCACGCCUGUACGCUUUGGCAAAAUGACACAAAAAUUGACAAUCAUGUGUAUCUCAAUUAGAUCUACGAAAAAGUCAAGAGCGCGUAUCUGUAUAAUGUACGGUAAAAGGGCUAUUUUGCAUUUUUUGCCGAUUCGCACAUAUUGGAAUUUCGCUAACUCCUCCUAAGGCUUUCGUCCCACUGACACCAAAUUUGCUCAGGCCAAUCUACACUCCAUGGCCAUUCAAAGUUGUAAAAAUCAUGACGCGGCACCCCACGGUUUACGUUUUAGGGGGCGCCAAAGAUGACCCAAAUAUACAUUACAGUAGACAAAGUAGUUUUGCCCACUGAGUGGCGCCAAAGGGACUUGUCUGUGGAGUCUGUGAGUCACUAUUGGCCGUUUUUGACUACUUUAGAUUUUACCUUUAUAUUUCCUCUUACAAAAUUUUUACCUUGCCUUGCCUGGUAUCAUUUUUUUCAGCACAACCUCACCUGUGUCAAUUUACAGUUAUUUUAUCAUUUUGACAUACUAUAUUUACACAUUGGACCCAAAUUCACACACAAAACAUAAAAUCCGAGUGGAAAAAAGUAACGUUUUUACUGUGAAAACCACAAAUAUGUGUGAUGAACUGUUUUUAAAACUUAAACUUCAAAUAAAAAUUGUAAACUUCAAAACAUAUGCAAAUUUUUAACAAAGAACAUAGUAAUUUACCUCUAUUUACAUCAAAAUGCAGGCAAUGGCCCAGGUGUUCUUUGUAAAAUUAUUUACAAAACACUGUAUAGUCUCACAAAUGUCACUUUUUAUUUAUGCCACUACAAAAAAACAUGAUGUAAAUGAUGCAUGAUGUAAAACAUGAUGUAAAAAACUUGUGUAGAUCCUCCUCUAUGUCAGUCCAUGUGUAAUUUUUCCAUAAUUCUUUGUUUUUUGCAGCAUUUUUGUUAGUGUAACUGCAGAUUGUGCUGACAGUGUCUAUGGCAAAAAAAAAAAAAAACUGAAAAUGCCUCAACAUGAACCCCUGGUGGUCUCUGAGGGUGAAACCUGCUAACUGCUGCAGCUCUGUCAGCUUCAGUCUCCCAUGCAGAGCUCGGAGCGCAUGUGUGGCUCUGCACCCUUAGCAGCGUUGCUAACUCCUCAGUAAGGAAAGCCUGCUUCAUGUCAGAGUCUCUAAACUCCAGAAGAAGUCGAUAAAAGUCACUUUCUUUCUAAAAAAACGUCGUUAGGGGGUCUGAAAAGUCAUUGAAUCUAACAACAAAGUCGCUAGGUUUGCAACUACGUGUCCCAGACUGCAUCCCUGCUGAGAGUCCCUCCCUCCCUUCUCAUAUUGCAGGAAGAACGUAAGCGCCCGCCCCUUGUCAAUCAGUCACCAUAUAAUUUUGGAUUGGUUGUUGUGGUGAAGUUUUCCACCAAUAGGAGAGAUGUUGUGGUGUGUUUUUUUUUUCCUUUGGCAAGCCUUUUCCGCCUGUAAGACCUGUCGCUAAUGUCUGCAUGCUAUGUUUUCCUGUCUCAUACAGCGCGAUCGAGCGCCGAACGUGAUCAAAAUAAGCAGAAAAAAAGUAUCGCGGACAUAAUUUAUCAUAACUCUGGUUUUAUUUGGCCUAUCAACACAAUUUAAAAACUGGUAUAUAGGUUGAGGUCCUCACUUUUGAGAUAAGUUGAAACGGAGAGUCAACGAGGCUCCGUCUUGCAGCUACAUCCGGUUAAAUAUGUCAUGUGACUUGAACUCACACACACACACACACACACACACACACACACACACACACACACACACACACACACAGACACACACACACACGCACACACACACACUCAGAGUCUGGUUUUUAGCACCUGCAAAAACAUGCUAUUUACAUAUUUGACAAGAAUGCAGAGGCUCCUUUUGCCCCUGAAAAAAAUCAAAUUUCAAACACAACUUGACUGGUCAUUUCUCCAAAAGACAACCAUGAAGCUCCAUCCAAACCUGAAGCAGGCAGUUGAUGCAUGUGUACAGUAACCUGAGGGGAGUGAGGUGACUGCUUCUGAGGAGAACAUGAGCAGUGAAGAUUCACCUUAGAGCUAGAACAGAGACGUGCACAUGAUUAUACAGGGGCAGGGGCUCAAGUUUUUACCAGUUGUUUAUACAAUAUGGAAAUUAAUGUGAAAUUAAAAAACAAAGUAUUAAUAGAAAGGUAAUGACUGUCCUGUGUAGGUGACAGUGAUAUCCAAUAGGCUAGGCACUCACGAGGCUGGCUGUGGCAAGUGUAAGUGAAAGCAACACGCACUGGCAGGAAGAACAGCAAACGCCGAUGAAGGAAAAGGGUCUUUGCAGUGAUGGGCGUUACCAGAGAGGGCGAUGGCCAGAGGACACAAAUGGGACGGGGAGGCAGCGCGUUGGGGGGGGGACGCGACACAGCUCGGGCCCGCCAGUGCCCCAACGGGGUCCUAGUUCUUUCUUUCUUCUUAUUUUUCCUCCCCUUUGAAGGGGAAAAUGGCCCACUUCCCACUGGCGAAAACUCAGGAAAUUUGGCAGGACGACCGGGCCUGGUGAAAAAUUCGAUAUUCUGAAGUCGCCCAAACAAUAAAAUGCAAAAUGGCUCCAUAGCGCCCCCUAAGGUGAAAAUUCACACUAUUGACUGUCACGCCUGUACGCUUUGUCAUAUUGACACAAAAAUUGACACACACAUGUAUCUCAAUAAGAUCUACAAAAAAGUCAGUGCGGGCGUAUCUGUCAAAUGUACGGUUAAAGGGUUAUUUCGCAUUUUUUGCAGAUCCGCACACAUUGGAAUUUCGCUAACUCCUCCGAAGGCUUUCGUUCCACUGGCACCACAUUUGCUCAGGCCAAUCUACACUCCAUGGCCAUUCAAAGUUGUACAAAUCAUGAUGCUGCACUCCAUGGUUUAGGUUCUAGGGGGCGCCAAAAAUAACCCAAAAAUCCACAUUCUUAAAAGUGUUAUAACUUUUUAUUUUUGUCCUCACUGGCCUCCAAGUUUUCUAGGAUGAUGCAAUGUCCAGCCAUCAACACAUUUGUAAAGGAAUUUUUACUCCCCAAAAGAGCGCCCCCCCAUGGCAGGACAAAAAAUCAAUUUUUUCUUGUCCCCUAAGGUGAAAAUACACAUUGUUGAGAUUCACGCCUGUAUGCUUUGUCAAAAUGACACAAAAUUUGACACACACGUGUAUCUCAAUAAGAUCUACGAAAAAGUCAAUGCGCGCGUAUCUGUAAAAUGUACGGCUAAACGGCUAUUUUGCAUUUUUUGCCGAUUCGCACACAUUGGAAUGUGGCUAACUCCUCCUAAGGCUUCCGUCCCACUGACACCAAAUUUGCUCAGGCCAAUCUACACCCCAUGGCCAGUCAAAGUUGUAAAAAUCAUGCCGCUGCACCCCAUGGUUUACGUUCUAGGGGGCGCCAAAGAUGACCCAAAUAUCCACAUUCUUAAAAGUCGUUUUGGCCACUGCAGGAGUACAGAGUACUGCAGGAUACACACACACAGACACACACACACACAGACACACACACACACACACACACACACACACACACACACACACACACACACACACACACACACAUACACACUCAGAGUCUGUUUUUUAGCACCUGCAAAAACAUGCUAUUUACAUAUUUGACAACAAUGCAGAGACUUCCUUUUGCCCCUGAAAAAAAUGAAAUUUCAAACACAACUUGACUGCUCAUUUCUCCAAAAGACAUCCAUGAAGCUCCAUCCAAACCUGAAGCAGGCAGUUGGUGCAUGUGUACAGUAACCUGAGGGGAGUGAGGUGACUGCUUCUGAGGAGAACAUGAGCAGUCAAGAUUCACCUUGGAGCUAGAACAGGGACGUGCACAUGAUUAUACAGGGGCAGGGGCUCAAGUUUUUUCCAGUCGUUUAUACAAUAUGGAAAUUAAUGUGAAAUUAAAAAACAAAGUAUUAAUAGAAAGGUAAUGACUGUCCUGUGUAGGUGACAGUGAUAUCCAAUAGGCUAGGCACUCACGAGGCUGGCUGUGGCAAGUGCAAGUGAAAGCCACACGCACUGGCAGGAAGAACGCCGAUGAAGGAAAAGGGUCUUCGCAGUGAUGGGCGUUACCAGAGAGGGCGAUGGCCAGAGGACGCGAAUGGGACGGGGAGGCAGCGCGUUGGGGGGGGGGGGGGGGGGGGGGGCGACACAGCUCGGGCCCGCCAGUGCCCCAACGGGGCCCUAGUUAGGGCCCGAGCGUAGCUGCUAAGCAGCUGCGAGAGCCCUCUUGUUCCUGAUGGAUUCUUCUUUCGUUAUUUUUCCUCCGCUUUAAACUGGAAAAUGGCCCACUUCCCACUGGCGAAAACUCAGGAAAUUUGGCAGGACGACCGGGCCUGGUGAAAAAUUUGAUAUUCUGAAGUCGUCCAAACAAAAAAAAUGAAAAAUGGCUCCAUAGCGCCCCCUAUGGUGAAAACUCACCUGAUGCCUGUACGCUUUGUCAAAAUGACACAAAAUUUGACACACAUGUGUAUCUCAAUAAGAUCUACGAAAAAGUCAGCGCGGGCGUAUCUGUCAAAUGUACGGUUAAAGGGCUAUUUCGCUUUUUUUGCCGAUCCGCACACAUUGGAAUUUCGCUAACUCCUCCGAAGGCUUUCGUUCCACCGGCACCAAAUUUGCUCAGGCCAAUCUACACCCCAUGGCCAUUAAAAGUUGUACAAAUCAUGACGCUGCACCCCACGGUUUAGGUUCUAGGCGGCGCCAAAGAUAACCAAAAAAUCCACAUUCUUAAAAGUCUUAUAACUUUUUAUUUUUGUCCUCACUGGCCUCCAAGGUUUCUAGGAUGAUGCAAUGUCCAGCCAUCAACUCAUUUGUGAAGGAAUUUUUACUCCCCAAAAGAGCGCCCCCCCAUGGCAGGAGAAAAAAGUCCAUUUUUUCUUGUCUCCUAAGGUAAAAAUACACAUUGUUGAGUGUCACGCCUAUACACUUUGUCAUAUUGACACACAAUUUGACAAUCACGUGUAUCUCAAUAAGAUCUACAAAAAAGUCAAUAGGCACGUAUCUGUCAAAUGUACGGUUAAAGGGCUAUUUUGCAUUUUUUGCCGAUUCGCACACAUUGGAAUGUGGCUAUCUCCUUCUAAGGCUUUCGUCCCACCGAUACCAAAUUUGCUCAGGCCAAUCUACACCCCAUGCCCAUUCAAAGUUGUAAAAAUCAUGCCGCUGCACCCCACGGUUUACGUUCUAGGGGGCGCCAAAGAUGACCCAAAAAUCCACAUUCUUAAAAGUCUUUUUGGUCACUGCAGGAGUACAGAGUACUGCAGGAUACACACACAUAUACACACACACACACACACACACACACACACACACACACACACACACACACACUCAGAGUCUGUUUUUUAGCACCUGCAAAAACAUGCUGUUUACAUAUUUGACAAGAAUGCAGAGGCUUCCUUUUGCCCCUGAAAAAAAUCAAAUUUCAAACACAACUUGACUGUUCAUUUCUCCAAAUGACAACCAUGAAGCUCCAUCCAAACCUGAAGCAGGCAGUUGGUGCAUGUGUACAGUAACCUGAGGGGAGUGAGGUGACUGCUUCUGAGGAGAACAUGAGCAGUGAAGAUUCACCUUGGAGCGAGAACAGGGACGUGCACAUGAUUAUACAGGGGCAGGGGCUCAAGUUUUUUCCAGUCGUUUAUACAAUAUGGAAAUUAAUGUGAAAUUAAAAAACAAAGUAUUAAUAGAAAGGUAAUGACUGUCCUGUGUAGGUGACAGUGAUAUCCAAUAGGCUAGGCACUCACGAGGCUGGCUGUGGCAAGUGUAAGUGAAAGCAACACGCACUGGCAGGAAGAACAGCAAACCCCGAUGAAGGAAAAGGGUCUUUGCAGUGAUGGGCGUUACCAGAGAGGACGAUGGCCAGAGGACGCGAAUGGGACGGGGAGGCAGCGCGUUGGGGGGGGGGCGCGACACAGCUCGGGCCCGCCAGUGCCCCAACGGGGCCCUAGUUAUUAUUUUUCCUCCGCUUUAAACUGGAAAAUGGCCCACUUCCCACUGGCGAAAACUCAUGAAAUUUGGCAGGACGACCGGGCCUGGUGAAAAAUUCGAUAUUCUGAAGUCACCCAAACAAUAAAAUGCAAAAUGGCUCCAUAGCGCCCCCUAAGGUGAAAAUUCACACUAUUGACUGUCACGCCUGUACGCUUUGUCAUAUUGACACAAAAAUUGACACACACAUGUAUCUCAAUAAGAUCUACAAAAAAGUCAGCACGGGCGUGUCUGUCAAAUGUACGGUUAAAGGGUUAUUUCGCAUUUUUUGCCGAUCCGCACACAUUGGAAUUUCGCUAACUCCUCCGAAGGCUUUCGUUCCACCGGCACCACAUUUGCUCAGGCCAAUCUACACCCCAUGGCCAUUAAAAGUUGUACAAAUCAUGACGCUGCACCCCACGGUUUACGUUCUAGGGGGCGCCAAAGAUAACCCAAAAAUCCACAGUCUUAAAAGUCUUAUAACUUUUUAUUUUUGUCCUCACUGGCCUCCAAGUUCUCUAGGAUGAUGCAAUGUCCAGCAAUUAACACAUUUGUGAAGGAAUUUUUACUCGCCAAAAGAGCGCCCCCCCAUGGCAGGAGAAAAAAGUCCAUUUUUUCUUGUCCCCUAAGGCGAAUAUACACACUGUUGACUGUCACGCCUGUACGCUUUGCCAUAUUGACACAAAAAUUGACACACACAUGUAUCUCAAUAAGAUCUACAAAAAAGUCAGUGCGGGCGUAUCUGUCAAAUGUACGGUUAAAGGGUUAUUUCGCAUUUUUUACCGAUCCGCACACAUUGAAAUUUCGCUAACUCCUCCGAAGGCUUUCGUUCCACCGGCACCACAUUUGCUCAGGCCAAUCUACACCCCAUGGCCAUCGAAAGUUGUACAAAUCAUGACGCUGCACCCCACGGUUUAGGUUCUAGGGGGCGCCAAAGAUAACCAAAAAAUCCACAUUCUUAAAAGUCUUAUAACUUUUUAUUUUUUUCCUCACUGGCCUCCAAGUUCUCUAGGAUGAUGCAAUGUCCAGCCAUCAACACAUUUGUGAAGGAAUUUUUACUCCCCAAAAGAGCGCCCCCACAUGGCAGGAGAAAAAAGUCCAUUUUUUCUUGUCCCCUAAGGUGAAAAUACACAUUGUUGACUGUCACGCCUGUACGCUUUGUCAUAUUGACACAAAAAUUGACACACACAUGUAUCUCAAUAAGAUCUACGAAAAAGUCAAUGGGCACGUAUCUGUAAAAUGUACGGUUAAAGGGCUAUUUUGCAUUUUUUGCUGAUUCGCACACAUUGGAAUGUGGCUAACUCGUCCUACAGCUUUCGUCCCACUGACACCAAAUUUGCUCAGGCUAAUCUACACCCCAUGGCCAUUCAAAGUUGUAAAAAUCAUGACGCUGCACCCCACGGUUUAGGUUCUAGGGGGCGCCAAAGAUGACCCAAAUAUCCAUAUUCUUAAAAGUGUUAUAACUUUUUAUUUUUGUCCUCACUGGCCUCCAAGUUUUCUAGGAUGAUGCAAUGUCCAGCCAUCAACACAUCUGUAAAGGAAUUUUUACUCCUGAAAAAGAGCGCCCCCCCAUGGCAGGAGAAAAGAGUCCAUUUUUUCUUGUCCCCUAAGGUGAAAAAACACAUUGUUGACUGUCACGCCUAUACGCUUUGUCAAAAUGACACAAAAUUUGACACACACGUGUAUCUCAAUAAGAUCUACGAAAAAGUCAAUGGGCACGUAUCUGUAAAAUGUACGGUUAAAGGGCUAUUUCGCAUUUUUUGCCGAUUCGCACACAUUGGAAUGUGGCUAACUCCUCCUAAGGCUUUC